rnacentral:rRNA from 1 species
CAUUAAAGAAUACAAGGCCUUCGGGUCCUAUUCUCACCCUUUGUAUACCAAAACUCUUGUUGCCUUGGCGCUUCGUGCGCCGAAGGAAGUAAACCCUUGAAUCUCUGCUGUCUGAGUACUAUAUAAUAGUUAAAACUUUCAACAACGGAUCUCUUGGUUCUGGCAUCGAUGAAGAACGCAGCGAAAUGCGAUAAGUAAUGUGAAUUGCAGAAUUCAGUGAAUCAUCGAAUCUUUGAACGCACAUUGCGCCUCCUGGCAUUCCGGGAGGCAUGCCUGUUCGAGCGUCAUUACAACCCUCAAGCUCAGCUUGGUCUUGGGCUCGCCUCCUUUGGCCUGCCUCAAAAUCAGUGGCGGCACAAUCCGAUCCUUAAGCGCAGUAAUACACGACGCUUACUUGUGUGAAGAUUGCGGCUCCAGAAACCCCCACAAACUAAAGGUUGAC